GGCAGCAUUCGCCAACAACGUUUUCAUUAAUCAAGAACGAAAGUUAGGGGAUCGAAGAUGAUCAGAUACCGUCGUAGUCUUAACCAUAAACUAUGCCGACUAGGGAUCGGGUGUUGUCCUUUUUUUGGCGCACUCGGCACCUUACGAGAAAUCAAAGUUUUUGGGUUCUGGGGGGAGUAUGGUCGCAAGGCUGAAACUUAAAGGAAUUGACGGAAGGGCACCACCAGGAGUGGAGCCUGCGGCUUAAUUUGACUCAACACGGGGAAACUCACCAGGUCCAGACACAAUAAGGAUUGACAGAUUGAGAGCUCUUUCUUGAUUUUGUGGGUGGUGGUGCAUGGCCGUUCUUAGUUGGUGGAGUGAUUUGUCUGCUUAAUUGCGAUAACGAACGAGACCUUAACCUACUAAAUAGUGCUGCUAGCUUUUGCUGGUAUAGUCACUUCUUAGAGGGACUAUCGAUUUCAAGUCGGUGGAAGUUUGAGGCAAUAACAGGUCUGUGAUGCCCUUAGACGUUCUGGGCCGCACGCGCGCUACACUGACGGAGCCAGCGAGUAUUACCUUGGCCGAGAGGUCUGGGAAAUCUUGUGAAACUCCGUCGUGCUGGGGAUAGAGCAUUGUAAUUAUUGCUCCUUCACCAAGAAUUCCUAG
rnacentral:rRNA from 1 species